rnacentral:rRNA from 1 species
UACGAAGGGUGCAAGCGUUACUCGGAAUUACUGGGCGUAAAGCGUGCGUAGGUGGUUUGUUAAGUCUGAUGUGAAAGCCCUGGGCUCAACCUGGGAAUUGCAUUGGAUACUGGCAGGCUAGAGUGCGGUAGAGGAUGGCGGAAUUCCCGGUGUGGCAGUGAAAUGCGUAGAGAUCGGGAGGAACAUCUGUGGCGAAGGCGGCCAUCUGGACCAGCACUGACACUGAGGCACGAGAGCCAGGGGAGCAAACGGG